GGCCGGUUAGCUCAGUUGGUUAAGCGUAGCGCUAACAAUGCUAAGGUCGCGGGUUCAAUUCCCGUUCGGUCC
rnacentral:tRNA from 1 species